UUAGUUAAAUGGAGGUUAGGUUAAGGUGUGAGGUUUAGUUGAGCGGCGAGGUUUAGUGAGGUACGGUUUAGUCGA